UCAAAUUUUCUUUAAAUGCAUAAAAAUCCACAGUCUAUUUAUAACUUUCGAUUAAAAAUCUACAUGUAUUCGCAACAGUUUUAUGAGUUUUUGUUUCUUCUUCCGCAAAUUAAAAAAUAUACAAUACGCCCGAUAAACCAUAAUAGCAUAAUUAGAUGUGGCAAUUAGGGAUCUGCGAAUUCCCGCGGAUACCCGGGUACUCGAGCGUGAGCGUGAAAAAAAGUGCGACAUACAUUAUCCGUCGAUGAUCGCCAGAUCAGAUUGUCCGUAGAUGAGUGUGAACGGCUAGCUUAACGCUGCACGUAUUUUUAUAUCGUCUGACUUUUAUUCAACGUUAUUGUGGCUAAUAUCUUAUUUACUUUACCUUUUAUCUGGAAUCUUUGCCUGGAUAGUCGAUAACUCGCGUGUUAUUAACGUUUAUCAGAUCGAUUUGUAUGUCAGAGUGAUUGGAUAAUCGAUGUACUGUGAUUCAUUUGAGAAAAUUGUGAUGGUUUCGCGAAAACUUCGAUAACAUUGUUAGUUUCGAUCGAUUCGAAGCAGGAAAUCGUUCGAUUAUGUUGCUGAAAUUUGAAGCUUAAGAUUUUUCUAUCGAACUAAAGGAAUUAUUUGUGUAAAGAAGGAGAGAAUGACUAUUUUAACAAUUUUUUAAGAAUUUCUAGAAACGUUCAAGAACGCUCAAGAGAGUAUUGCAUGAGAAAUUCCUUACAAAGAUUGUUAUCAAACGUUUUCUUUAGCACUAGCAAAUAUUUCUCCGUUUUAAUCAUACCUAUGUUGUUCACCUCGUUAUUAUAUUUAACGCAGUUUGCGUUACACGAAAGUGCUGAGAGAUAUGUAACUCGAAACUCUGUUGGAACUCUGCGUCUAAUCCUCUUCAGCAUAGCGAGCUAAAAAGACGUUGAAUAAAAGAUACAUCUCGUAUUUAACUUUAAAUAUCUGAUAAAAGUUGAAGUGAAAAAAAGAUGCUUCUUUUAAGAAACAUACCUUUUUAAACGAUUCAUUUUUUAUCUACGUUAUUAACUGACAAUUUCUUCCCUAGAAUUUUUAUAUAAUUUUAUGGAUCUUUCCAAUGAACUUUGUUAAAAUGUAUCUUUCGUUGAUUUCUCGAUUUAAGAAUCACGAUCGAUGCUACGAAAUAAAGUGGCUCACGAAAGUAUUCGAUCACCCUUAGAAACAGUUUAUCUUAAAUUUAAAUUAAAAAAAAACGGUCAAAUUUGAAACGGAUUCGGCAAUGUAUAUAUGUAAAAGCUUGAAAGUAUUUAUUAGAAGCGUAUUUGCUAGUCCUCGAUAUAUAAUGUUCAAUAGAAACCAUCGUAGCCGAACCAUUAAAAAAUAUACACUAACUACGUAGCGAAUAUUGACUACUCCAUUUCGUAUCACCUUUACAUUGCUCUUUGACAAACUUUCUACUAUUGCUAAUUACUUUCAUCAGGCUUUUAGUGCAUUUGUGUAACAUUAGAACUAUCAAACUCGUCAAAAUGACUGACCUCAGACUCUAUCUUUUUUUACGAUUACUGAAAACAUACAGGUAUUUUUACCAAGAUUAAUACCGAUUUUUAUUCGGAUAGAGAGAUUGUUUCAAUUAAUUUCAUUUGAAUCAUAAUGAUUUAUACGUUACAUAGAACAUUCAAGCGUAUUUAACAGGCUGGUAGUGGUCCAGUGUUAAACAGAAAGAGAAACGAUUGAUUUUCAUGUACAUUGAUGAAUUUAGAGGAAAACCAUGAUUUUCGACGCGUAGGAUCUCGUUCGUUACUGCAAGUACUUCCCGUUUGCAUUAUUUAUACUUUAAUGUUAUUCGUGGCGGUUGACUGUUCGCCGGAAGUAUCGUAACGACACGUCUCUCAUUCGUAUACUCGUAUAUGGUUUCAUGAGAACUGUGACGCCGCGGAAAAGGGUCAUGUGAACGUGUCACGGGCAUGCAGCGUGUACUAGCGUCGCGAAUCCGAGCUCGUGGGACGUUGACCGAAACGAACGAAUCGUUCUGGCUCGAGAAUUGAAUUCGACGCUUUACACGGCACUUGCGGUAAGCGGAUCGCCGAUCGAACGUUCCUUGUAUCCCUACGAACGUGCAAGUAAUGCAUAUUUUCAGAUCGAAUUGAUGGAAGUUUACCAAUUUCUCGUUUCAAAACAGUUCGUAUGACAAACGCAGGGAAGAAUGAAACGAUUGUCGUAAUGCAAGCGGAUGGUAAUUCGAUGAUUAGAUACAGGGAAAGGAAUUCGCCGAUGAAAUAAUCGUUUAUAAAAGUUCGAUGUCAUUACUGACAUUCCACUUGCGAAAGACCUCGGAAGAGGAAAGCUUCGUUCGAUGUUUAUUCCGCGUUGUCUGAAUUAUUAUCGACUGAGAUUUCUCUCACUCGUAAUCGUUUCUUGCUUAACACGAUAGGACAAAAUACUUUGAAAUUUUAGUACCAUUACGGGCAUCGAGCGAAGUUUCGUUUCGAGAAGUAGAAUAAGCUACCAAUAGCCAGACAGAGAGACCAGUAAUAUUGAUUUGAUGCUGUUAGUCUUUCGUAAGACGCCGAAUAGACCUGUACUAAAUAUAUGUUAAUCGCUGUUAAUCGUCUAUUUGUUUAAAUGAAUACAAUAUGUCGUAUUUCGACCUGGGCAACAGUAUUUUGCCAAUAAGACUUCACUAUAUUACUUUACCAAUAUCAGUACGGCAAAACCUAGAUUAUCCGAGCAACUCUUAUUUCGAACGUUCAAUUAUCCGAACAAUAUCGGCUAUAUAAACUUCUUUCACCAUACUUUCUGUACAUUCAUCAAUCAGAUUCUCAAUUCAUUGUUAAAAAUGUGUGUGAGGAAGAAAGAUUGACAAAAUUAAAGGAAGAUUUAACAGUAGCGAAAAUAGGAUAAUAGGAUGAAUAGGAUAAUAUUUCUGUAAACGGUAUUCAGCAUAGUAUAAUGUAUUCAGAAGCGUUUAUAGCUACAGAAACAUGCUUGUUGGUACGCACAAACAGAAAACAGUUCUGCAGAACUAGUCAUUUAAAAAAAAAGCUUUUAAUUUAUUGGUUUAGAAAAAUUGCGAGGACAGAUUGGAAAAUCAGGAAGAAAAUGAUUGAGACAUGUACAACAGGCGAGCCAAUAAGCAAGUCAUGAAAUAUCUACAGCGAAUAUCUUAAAAUCCUUUAAGCUUCGAUUUCGAGGGCAUAAUCUGCUAACGAACACACAAACGCUUGGUUCUCCCAGUGCGAGUCACCGAAAGAACUCGGCUGUAUUUCACAGCUCGUUAGCGCAAUAAAUUCUGCAUUCCGGCAGGGA